CAUGGCUCAGGACGAACGCUGGCGGCGUGCCUAAUACAUGCAAGUAGAACGCUGAAGAGAGGAGCUUGCUCUUCUUGGAUGAGUUGCGAACGGGUGAGUAACGCGUAGGUAACCUGCCUUGUAGCGGGGGAUAACUAUUGGAAACGAUAGCUAAUACCGCAUAACAAUGGAUGACACAUGUCAUUUAUUUGAAAGGGGCAAUUGCUCCACUACAAGAUGGACCUGCGUUGUAUUAGCUAGUAGGUGAGGUAAUGGCUCACCUAGGCGACGAUACAUAGCCGACCUGAGAGGGUGAUCGGCCACACUGAGACUGAGACACGGCCCAGACUCCUACGGGAGGCAGCAGUAGGGAAUCUUCGGCAAUGGGGGCAACCCUGACCGAGCAACGCCGCGUGAGUGAAGAAGGUUUUCGGAUCGUAAAGCUCUGUUGUAAGUCAAGAACGGGUGUGAGAGUGGAAAGUUUACACUAUGACGGUAGCUUACCAGAAAGGGACGGCUAACUACGUGCCAGCAGCCGCGGUAAUACGUAGGUCCCGAGCGUUGUCCGGAUUUAUUGGGCGUAAAGCGAGCGCAGGCGGUUUGAUAAGUCUGAAGUUAAAGGCUGUGGCUCAACCAUAGUUCGCUUUGGAAACUGUCAAACUUGAGUGCAGAAGGGGAGAGUGGAAUUCCAUGUGUAGCGGUGAAAUGCGUAGAUAUAUGGAGGAACACCGGUGGCGAAAGCGGCUCUCUGGUCUGUAACUGACGCUGAGGCUCGAAAGCGUGGGGAGCGAACAGGAUUAGAUACCCUGGUAGUCCACGCCGUAAACGAUGAGUGCUAGGUGUUGGAUCCUUUCCGGGAUUCAGUGCCGCAGCUAACGCAUUAAGCACUCCGCCUGGGGAGUACGACCGCAAGGUUGAAACUCAAAGGAAUUGACAGGGGCCCGCACAAGCGGUGGAGCAUGUGGUUUAAUUCGAAGCGACGCGAAGAACCUUACCAGGUCUUGACAUCCCGAUGCUAUUUCUAGAGAUAGAAAGUUACUUCGGUACAUCGGUGACAGGUGGUGCAUGGUUGUCGUCAGCUCGUGUCGUGAGAUGUUGGGUUAAGUCCCGCAACGAGCGCAACCCCUAUUGUUAGUUGCCAUCAUUCAGUUGGGCGCUCUAGCGAGACUGCCGGUAAUAAACCGGAGGAAGGUGGGGAUGACGUCAAAUCAUCAUGCCCCUUAUGACCUGGGCUACACACGUGCUACAAUGGUUGGUACAACGAGUUGCGAGUCGGUGACGGCGAGCUAAUCUCUUAAAGCCAAUCUCAGUUCGGAUUGUAGGCUGCAACUCGCCUACAUGAAGUCGGAAUCGCUAGUAAUCGCGGAUCAGCACGCCGCGGUGAAUACGUUCCCGGGCCUUGUACACACCGCCCGUCACACCACGAGAGUUUGUAACACCCGAAGUCGGUGAGGUAACCUUUUGGAGCCAGCCGCCUAAGGUGGGACAGAUGAU
rnacentral:rRNA from 1 species